GAAGGUAUAGCACAGUGGUAGAGUGCCUGCUUAGCAGGCAAGGGGACCUGGGUUCAAUCCCCAGUACCUCCA
rnacentral:tRNA from 1 species